AAAGCCAGAGAAAGCCCAGAGAAAAGAGCAUAAAGAGAUUUGCAAGAGGCUCAAGUUGCUGCCUCCCUGCUGGCUUGUUUCUCCUGCUUACCAUUAAAAGCUGUGAAAAUGAUGCCAAGUGGGACCAGUGGCUCCAUUUUCAACUGCCAUGGAAAAGAGGUUCUCAUGGUUCCCAACAGUACUAGCUGGACCUCACCAUACAAGGUCACAAAGGAAGGUACCAGAGUUGGUCAGGCAGCAGAAGGAAUGAGGAGGAAAUACAGAAUGAUGAGAAGAGUGCCAGCUGUCACCUGCAUUGGAAUGAGCUGUGUUAUGGGAACCCUGAGCUGAGGAAGGAAACCUUUUUUAA